rnacentral:lncRNA from 12 species
UGUCUCUAGGAAUGGUGUCUCUUCCCUGGGCUAGAUGACAGGAAGCCCCAGCUGAGUGACUUUGAACAAUGCCGAUACGGAACAUAACUACAGAAGGCAGCCCUUGAAGUCCCCACAGAGAAGGCUGCAGACCAGGGUCCUUUGUAGGAUCUGUAUUUUGCAGAUAAUGAAAGCUGAGAGCACCCUCUGUCUUUGUAAGCAUCUGUUUGUGUGCUAUGUGGUCAGGAGAAGAACAAGGAUCCAGAGCUGAGUGUCGAGAUCCGAUGAACUUGACCUUAUAGUGACUGAGCAUCUGAGAAGUGGAAG